rnacentral:tRNA from 1 species
GCGGGUAUGGUAUAAUGGUUAUUACGUCAGCCUUCCAAGCUGAUCAUGUGGGUUCAAUUCCCACUACCCGCU